CGAACAUCCAGGACGCUCGUCCAUACUUUUCAAAAGGAGAUAUGUGGAAGGGUGCGCGCACACGCCAGACAACAACUGCUAAAAUCACGGAGUUCGUAUGAUAAUAACAGUUUACCGUGGAAGAAAAUGCUGACCCAACGUCUCCCCUUCUGGCCACAAAAGGAUUUAUUUGGAUUAAAAAUCUGACUAAGACAGGCAAACAGCAAGUUGGUCCUUUGUGCUAUUCCGUUCUCACAAGCCUCGCGGCUAUGUCUCCCUACUGUAGACAGAGACGGACCAUCUUCCACCAUCUACAGACGUUUUGUCACGUUUUGUGGCUCUACACCUCCAGCCUGCCUGCUUCACCCCCUCCAGCCUGAUGCGCCCCACUCUCCAACCUUCCCCCCGCCUCCCUCCUGGUUAUACCAAAUAAACCUGUUCACCUUCACUCCAAC
ensembl:lncRNA